rnacentral:rRNA from 1 species
CCUACGGGUGGCAGCAGUGAGGAAUAUUGGUCAAUGGACGCAAGUCUGAACCAGCCAUGCCGCGUGCAGGAUGACGGCUCUAUGAUUUUUAAACUGCUUUUGUACGAAGGUAAACGCAUAUACGUAUAUCUGUCUGAAAUUAUCGUACGAAUUAGGAUCGGCUAACUCCGUUCCAGCAGCCCAGGUAAUACGGAGGAUUCAAGCGUUAUCCGGAUUUAGUGGGUUUAAAGGGUGCGUAGGCGGUCGGAUAAUUUAGAUGUGAAAUCCAGAGGCUCAACUUCGGAAGUUCAUCUGAUAAUGUUCAGCUAGAGAGUAGUUGCGGUAGGCGGAAUGUAUGGUGUAGCGGUGAAAUGCUUAGAGAUCAUACAGAACACCGAUUGCGAAGGCAGCUUACCAAGCUACUUCUGACGUUGAGGCACGAAAGCGUGGGGAGCAAACAGGAUUAGAUACCCCUGUAGUC